rnacentral:rRNA from 1 species
AGAGUUUGAUCCUGGCUCAGGACGAACGCUGGCGGCGUGCCUAACACAUGCAAGUCACGGGGGCCCGCAAGGGUAACCGGCGAACGGGUGCGUAACACGUGAGCAAUCUGCCGAUUUCUGGGGGAUAGCCGGUCCAACGACCGGGUAAUACCGCAUACGCUCAUUGGGGGGCAUUCCCCGAUGAGGAAACCUCCGGGGGAAAUCGAGGAGCUCGCGGCCUAUCAGCUAGUUGGUGCGGUAACGGCGCACCAAGGCGACGACGGGUAGCUGGUCUGAGAGGAUGGCCAGCCACAUUGGGACUGCGACACGGCCCAGACUCCUACGGGAGGCAGCAGUGGGGAAUAUUGCGCAAUG